GGACUACCAGGGUAUCUAAUCCUGUUUGCUCCCCUUGCUCUCGCGCCUCAGCGUCAGUUAAAAGCUAGAAAACCGCUUUCGCCACCGGUGUUCUUCCACAUAUCUACGCAUUUCACCGCUACAUGUGGAAUUCCAUUUUCUCCGCCUUUCCUCUAGAUUUACAGUUUCAAAUGCAGCUCCGAAGUUGAGCUUCGGAAUUUCACAUCUGACUUGUAUAUCCGCCUACGCGCCCUUUACGCCCAAUAAAUCCGAUUAAUGCUUGCACCCUCCGUAUUACCGCGGCUGCUGGCAC
rnacentral:rRNA from 1 species